CAUCAACAGUAGCAGAUGGGGCACAAAAUUUGAAGGAUUUUUCAUAGAUCUUAAACAAGAUACCCUGUGCCUGAAAACCAGUCACCCGUACUAUCAUCAAAUUCAAGGCCAGCUACACAUAUGUAACAAAACAUUCUGCGACUUAAUUGUGUGGACAAGAGUAGACUGCAUUGUGAUUAGAAUAGUAAAAGACAUUGAAUGGACAGCAAAUGUUCCAAAGCUGAUAGAUUUCUACAUUAACAUUUUCAUUCCAGCACUGAUGGAAAACUGAGUUCUGGUUUGAACUUCUUGACACUUAGUUUUGUACCUCUAGAAUUUUCUAACAAUGGAAAAUGGGUAAUCAUGUUAAAUGGGUUGAAUGUUCCCAAGUCUCAUAAAUGUAUGAUAUGAUAUGUCACAAUCCAAUGAAUCCAUCAUAAAACUUCUGGCUUAUAAGACUAUUUUAAAUAGCAAUGAUGAUUAAUAAAAUCUAUGUACUACAUAAAAAAAGAAUAUCAAAAUUUAGAAUCAUUUUAUUAAUGAAUUGAAGAUGUUAUUCUCAAAGUGAAAAUGUAACAUUUUUGUCUUUCUUAAUAGAUAAAUUGUUGAAAACAUGAA